ACCAUUCACAUUCCGAAAAUCAUAUGAAGUGUAGUAUUAAUGCUUAGAUAAUACCUUACCAGUUUCAAUCAUGUUUUUGCAGCGGAUCUUAUUCAUGAAACUGACAUCUCUCAAACAAGGAAAUUGGCAAUUGGCAUCCAUUUUUACCAUCUCAAAAAUGUGGUUGGCGGAUUAUGAUCGAACAUUUACUGGCACUUCCAAAUCCAUGGCAUUACAUGAAAUAUCAUUUUCAGUAAGUUUAACAAGAGGUAUUAUUAGAGGACCAACUUGAGUUCUAAUAUUUGCCAACUAGCAUUCACACCCACCAGAUUCCAUGAUGCCAUGGGAACUCUCUCUGUUUCAAACUGAUACAAUCAUGUGGGAUCAGAAGUACCAUACUAGAAGUCAAACCCGACUACUGUACACAUAAGUAACACGUACAAUAAACUGGUAAAAAUCCAGAUAUUUGAGACUACUGAAAGCCAAGAUAGUCUCAUGGUUUUUUAAAAAAAAAAACUGCGGUGUUUCGUUAAUCUAUCACUGAUAUUAAGAAGGAAAAAAUUCUUGAUGACCCCAGAUGAGAACAUGAAUCUGAUUAGGUAAAAUGUUAGUAACAGCAGCACCUUUUUUUUCUUUAACGGUACGGGUUCAUUUCAUAAUUUUGUAUUUGUUAUAUACCGCAAGGGAGCUGCCUAAAGAGCUAAAAGAGAGAAGUUUAGCAUAGAUCGGACAACAAAGCAAGAGGGGCAGCAACGAAGAUUUCGAAAUGUCAGCUGGUCGACAGUGUUGGAGUCGAACAACUUCCAAAUGAAUGGGUUCAACUUCACCACCGAAAAGGCAGCUCCUAAUUCUCUUUUUAGAGAGAAGAAAUUAGUAGUAAGAGAAGAAGAUACUGAUAAUAACAAGGGAAGAUCAUUCUAUUCUACUCUAUACUAAAGAAGUAGGGUGCGCACCUGCUCCACCGUUCAUAUCAACAGUGAAGUAUUUGCCUCUCUUUUUUCCUCAAAUCUUUUUUCUCAAAUUCUUUUAACGGUCAUUUGGAUUGCCUUUCCUUUCUAAUUUCAGAAAAGAGUUCUGAAAAAGGCCAUUUCUUUACUAAAGAGGAUUUUACAUGGUGAUUUGAAAACGCAACCUCUCAUAGGAAAGAAAGUACCUUUCUCAAUUAAAAAGUACAUUUCUUAAGAGAGAGAGGGAGGGAGAGAGGGGCAAAUAUAUAGAUAGUUGCAAAUUAAAUACAGCAAAAGUAAAACAGAAAAAAAGAAAAAGAAAAAAGGGGAUAACAAUUGAGAUUUAUACAGUUGAGGAUUGUAAAAUAUAUACCUGAGUAUGUUGUGGCUCAGAGGUAUCAAGAUAAGCACAAGUCCUGAUAUUCCCAGUGAACUUUACACUAGGCAUGAACUCACCGACAAGGAUGUUCUUCUUCUCCACAAUAUCCAUGUCAAAAAGAUAAGCAAAGGACUUGGUAUCAAGAACUGCUACAACGUUCGGAUUGACCCCAGCAAAGAAGGGAAAUGUUGGAGGCACAUUUGUGCGGAACACAGUGGACUUGUACUUGUCAAUGCGUUUCUUGAAGAAGGUAUCAGGACCCUGGAACCAGAAGUAGUCUAGCCUGUCUGAGAUGGGUCCUAACAAAGGCCAGCCGUAUGAUCCAGGGAUUGUACGGAGUGGGAGGGAAGCGGGUGCUGGAGACUGAGUAGGGGGUGAUGAUGACGGCAUGCCUGGAGAUAUGCUCAUCAUUCGGCAGUUCAUCAUCGUGCCCAUGGCCAUGGAUGUAGUGGCUGUGGUGAUGAAGUGAGGAUGAUGUCUAAAAAAUAUCAACUAAUUGUUUGUGUGUGAUUUGAUGACUACAGUAAGAUACAUAGAGCGAGCAAAGCAGGACACUGAAUCUUCUUGGUGGAUGUGGGAGCGUGUAAUAUCGGUGAUGGAGAUGGAGAUGGAGAUGGUGACGAGAGUGAGGGGGGGUUGUAAUGCUGUUGAUCAAUAAAUGGUGCUUGUGGAAGAGCAAGAACAUGGAUAAGACAAAUUUUUUUUUUUAUUUCUAUUUUCUUAUAACUCUUUUCAAUACUUGUCAGUUCACUGAAUCACUCUGAUAAUGGCAAAGUAUGAUAUUAUUAAAUUUUGCUCAACUUAUUUAUUUAAUUAUUUGUACAUACAAAUCUCUUUAUUUA